rnacentral:tRNA from 1 species
AUUAAUUGAAUUGUUUAUUUAUUUACUUUUUUAAAGUAAAUGUCUUAUUAAUU